AACUUUCAACAACGGAUCUCUUGGUUCUCGCAUCGAUGAAGAACGCAGCGAAAUGCGAUACGUAAUGUGAAUUGCAGAAUUCAGUGAAUCAUGGAAUCUUUGAACCCCCAUUCCACUUAAUGGUAUUCGUUAGAGAAUCCUUGUUCCAGUUUCAUG
rnacentral:rRNA from 1 species